UACGUAGGUGGCGAGCGUUGUCCGGAUUUACUGGGCGUAAAGGGAGCGUAGGCGGAUUUUUAAGUGAGAUGUGAAAUACUCGGGCUUAACCUGAGUGCUGCAUUUCAAACUGGAAGUCUAGAGUGCAGGAGAGGAGAAGGGAAUUCCUAGUGUAGCGGUGAAAUGCGUAGAGAUUAGGAAGAACACCAGUGGCGAAGGCGCUUCUCUGGACCGGUACUGACGCUGAGGCGCGAAAGCGUGGGGAGCAAACAGG
rnacentral:rRNA from 1 species